rnacentral:rRNA from 1 species
GAUGAACGCUGGCGGCGUGCCUAAUACAUGCAAGUCGAGCGAACAGACGCGGCGCUUGCUCCUCUGACGUUAGCGGCGGACGGGUGAGUAACACGUGGAUAACCUACCUAUAAGACUGGGAUAACUUCGGGAAACCGGAGCUAAUACCGGAUAAUAUAUUGAACCGCAUGGUUCAAUAGUGAAAGACGGUUUUGCUGUCACUUAUAGAUGGAUCCGCGCCGCAUUAGCUAGUUGGUAAGGUCACGGCUUACCAAGGCAACGAUGCGUAGCCGACCUGAGAGGGUGAUCGGCCACACUGGAACUGAGACACGGUCCAUACUCCUACGGGAGGCAGCAGUAGGGAAUCUGACGCAGUGGGCGAAAGCUUGACGGAGCAACGCCGCGUGAGUGAUGACGGUCUUCGGAUCGUAAAACUCUGUUAUGAGGGAAGAACAAAUUUGUAAGUAACUAUGCACGUCUUGACGGUACCUAAUCAGAAAGCCACGGCUAACUACGUG